rnacentral:rRNA from 1 species
CUUCGAGUCGUUGAUUUCACACUGCCGAGAAAAGCCUCUAGAUAGAAAAUAGGUGCCCGUACCGCAAACAGACACAGGUAGUCAAGAUGAGAAUUCUAAGGUGAGCGAGCGAACUCUCGUUAAGGAACUCGGCAAAAUGACCCCGUAACUUCGGGAGAAGGGGUGCUCUUUAGGGUUAACGCCCAGAAGAGCCGCAGUGAAUAGGCCCAAGCGACUGUUUAUCAAAAACACAGGUCUCUGCUAAACCGUAAGGUGAUGUAUAGGGGCUGACGCCUGCCCGGUGCUGGAAGGUUAAGAGGAGUGGUUAGCUUCUGCGAAGCUACGAAUCGAAGCCCCAGUAAACGGCGGCCGUAACUAUA